UACAGAGGUCUCAAGCGUUGUUCGGAUUCAUUGGGCGUAAAGGGUGCGUAGACGGCGCGGUAAGUCGGGUGUGAAAUCUCGGAGCUUAACUCCGAAACUGCAUUCGAUACUGCCGUGCUUGAGGACUGGAGAGGAGACGUGGAAUUUACGGUGUAGCGGUGAAAUGCGUAGAUAUCGUAAGGAAGACCAGUGGCGAAGGCGGGU
rnacentral:rRNA from 1 species